rnacentral:rRNA from 1 species
GACGAACGCUGGCGGCGUGCUUAACACAUGCAAGUCGAACGGAAAGGCCCCUUUGGGGGUACUCGAGUGGCGAACGGGGGAGUAACACGUGAGUAACCUUCCCUUGACUUCUGGAUAACUUCAGGAAACUGGGGCUAAUACCGGAUAGGAAUCCUUGCUGCAUGGUGGGGGUUGGAAAGCUUCGGCGGUUUUGGAUGGACUCGCGGCUUAUCAGCUUGUUGGUGGGGUAGUGGCUUACCAAGGCUUUGACGGGUAGCCGGCCUGAGAGGGCGACCGGCCGCCUUGGGACUGAGAUAAGGCCCCGACUCCUACGGGAGGACGAAGUGGGGAAUCUUGCACAAUGGGCGGCAGCCUGAUGAAGCAACGCCGCGUGCGGGAUGACGGCCUUCGGGUUGUAAAACGCUUUCAGCAGGGGCGAAGCUUGUGGUGACGGUACCUGAAGAAGAAGCACCGGCUAACUACGUG